GUCAGGUGUGAGAGAGUCUCUUUUUCAACCACGUGUUUUUGAUGACAUCCUCAAAAUCUUCAACUUUCAUAAAUAUUAGUAAAAUCGGGAGUGUUCGUAUUUCUUAAAACCGCGAUCGUAUAAAAUCACAAAAAAUUUGCUAUUUUUACAGUCAACAGGUGAUUACUGACUGCUCGAAAUAUUUAAAUCUGGAAGUGUAUUUUUUCCUGAAGAUGACAACGAUCGACUUCAGCUCACUAAUGUGGGCAGAUUUGUGACUUACGGGAACUCGAAACCACUACUGUGUCUAUAUUCCUCUUCUGUUAUUAUCAACAUUGCUACAUUUUCGAUAAAAAAAAGUUUUUGCGUCGCAACGCGUGUCAGUGCCGCAAAAGUUUUCCUCCACACCCUUUACUCAUUGUGUCAAUCGAGUGUCAAAUGAUGCAUGCAGAAUGGACUGAGAAAGAAGACGGGCGACGGCUGUGGAUCCAUUAUCGAUUUCUGAGAGUGAUUCUUGGAUGCAAAACGAAAGGGCAUCAGGACG